rnacentral:rRNA from 1 species
GACGAACGCUGGCGACGUGCCUAAUACAUGCAAGUCGAACGCUGAAGGAGGAGCUUGCUCUUCUGGAUGAGUUGCGAACGGGUGAGUAACGCGUAGGUAACCUGCCUGGUAGUGGGGGAUAACUAUUGGAAACGAUAGCUAAUACCGCAUAAUAACAGUUGUUGCAUGACAACUGUUUGAAAGGUGCAAUUGCAUCACUACCAGAUGGACCUGCGUUGUAUUAGCUAGUUGGUGGGGUAACGGCUCACCAAGGCGACGAUACAUAGCCGACCUGAGAGGGUGAUCGGCCACACUGGGACUGAGACACGGCCCAGACUCCUACGGGAGGCAGCAGUAGGGAAUCUUCGGCAAUGGACGAAAGUCUGACCGAGCAACGCCGCGUGAGUGAAGAAGGGUUUCGGAUCGUAAAGCUCUGUUGUAAGAGAAGAACGAGUGUGAGAGUGGAAAGUUCACACUGUGACGGUAUCUUACCAGAAAGGGACGGCUAACUACGUG